GCCGUCCAUUCAGUAUGGUGGAUAUGACUCUCGGCUUGUAGCCGAGUGGGCUCGAGUUCGAAUCCCGAGGAGGGCA
rnacentral:tRNA from 1 species